rnacentral:rRNA from 1 species
AUUGAACGCUGGCGGCAUGCUUUACACAUGCAAGUCGAACGGUAACAGGCCUUCGGGUGCUGACGAGUGGCGAACGGGUGAGUAAUGCAUCGGAACGUGCCCAGAGGUGGGGGAUAACGCAGCGAAAGCUGUGCUAAUACCGCAUGUGAUCUGAGGAUGAAAGCGGGGGACCAGGCAGCAAUGUUUGGCCUCGCGCCUUUGGAGCGGCCGAUGUCAGAUUAGGUAGUUGGUGGGGUAAAGGCCUACCAAGCCGACGAUCUGUAGCUGGUCUGAGAGGACGACCAGCCACACUGGGACUGAGACACGGCCCAGACUCCUACGGGAGGCAGAAGUGGGGAAUUUUGGACAAUGGGCGCAAGCCUGAUCCAGCAAUGCCGCGUGCGGGAAGAAGGCCUUCGGGUUGUAAACCGCUUUUGUACGGAACGAAAAGGCUCUGGCUAAUACCUGGGGCUGAUGACGGUACCGUAAGAAUAAGCACCGGCUAACUACGUG